rnacentral:rRNA from 1 species
GAUGAACGCUGGCGGCGUGCCUAAUACAUGCAAGUCGAGCGAACAGACGAGGAGCUUGCUCCUCUGACGUUAGCGGCGGACGGGUGAGUAACACGUGGAUAACCUACCUAUAAGACUGGGAUAACUUCGGGAAACCGGAGCUAAUACCGGAUAAUAUAUUGAACCGCAUGGUUCAAUAGUGAAAGACGGUUUUGCUGUCACUUAUAGAUGGAUCCGCGCCGCAUUAGCUAGUCGGUAAGGUAACGGCUUACCAAGGCAACGAUGCGUAGCCGACCUGAGAGGGUGAUCGGCCACACUGGAACUGAGACACGGUCCAGACUCCUACGGGAGGCAGCAGUAGGGAAUCUUCCGCAAUGGGCGAAAGCCUGACGGAGCAACGCCGCGUGAGUGAUGAAGGUCUUCGGAUCGUAAAACUCUGUUAUUAGAGAAGAACAAAUGUGUAAGUAACUAUGCACGUCUUGACGGUACCUAAUCAGAAAGCCACGGCUAACUACGUG